GGCCGCCUGGCGAAAUGGCAUCGCGUCUGACUACGAUUGGAGCGUGAGAAUUUCCGCUUACGUAAUCAUCAGGAGAUUGCAGGUUCGACCCCUGCGGUGGUCA